ensembl:ncRNA ZK993.4 ncRNA
GAAUGAUCCGAAUAAGGACGAUCAGAUAUGAAAAGUAAGAAAAUAAGGAAGGAUCACCGACAGAUAUUCACACUUGAAUGCAC